AGUGAACGCUGGCGGUAGGCCUAACACAUGCAAGUCGAACGGCAGCACAGUAAUAGCUUGCUCUGACGGGUGGCGAGUGGCGUACGGAAGAGGAAUACAUCGUAAUCUACUUUUUCGUGUGGCAUAACGUAGGGAAACUUACUCUAAUACCGCAUCCGACCUUCGGGGGUAAGCAGGGGAUCUUCGGACCUUGCGCGAUUGAAUGAGCCGAUGUCGGAUUUGCUAGUUGGCCGGGUAAAGGCCCAGCAAGUCGGCGAUCCAUAGCUGGUGUGAGAGGAUGAUCAGCGACACUGGAACUGAGCCACGGUCCAGACGCCUGAGAGACGGCGCAGUGGGCAACAUUGGACAGUGGGCGCAGGCAUGGUCCAGCCAUACCGCGUGGGUGACGAAGGCCCUCGGGUUGUAAAGACGUUUUGCUGGGAAAGAAAAGCAGCAGCUUAAUACCAAGCUGUUGUGACGGUACCCAAAGAAUAAGCACCGGCUAACUUCGUG
rnacentral:rRNA from 1 species